CAGCAGGGACCCCGGUGGGAACACGAUAGGAUCGAUUUAUCCAGCAACGUAGGGAGCGAUCGCCAUCCCAGAUCCUCGACUUCGUUGGACUUUGCCGCUCUGGCGCCUGGCAAGGAGCUGCUACUCCUGCUGCCUAACAGAGAAACCCGGACACGGCGAGGACCUGCAACCCGGUCGCUCAGCGAUGGAGUUUUUUGACCGCUACCCGUCCCACCACUAAGAUGGUCCCUGCAGGAGGUGACGUGGCUGCAGCCUAAAGCCUCCCAGCUUUGCCCUGAUGUUUUGGAGCGGGGCUCAUGCAGGGGCAUGGCUACAGGCCAUGGGCAGCCCCUCUUGUUGACAGUCAGAAGGGCUGCAAGGAUCCUGCUUGCCGUGGCCACCGAGUCACCAGAA